CACCGUGAGGUGGAAUCUGAAGGAAGUCAGAUGGCAAAUCUCUGGUCUGACGAACAGAAACCACAUGAGGCUAUGGUUAAGGAUAAGGCUGCCAAACAAGUCAAAGUCCAAUAGCUACUCGGAAUUAAUUAUAGUAGAUGUGGCAGAUAUAUGGAGAGAAAGUGA
rnacentral:ncRNA from 1 species